UUCUGUUCAUAUAGAGUGCUGUAGGCUUUCGUAUCAUUGAUUGCACACAUAUUUUGACACAUUAGUGCAUCGCAAAAAUUAUAGAACACACUUUGGAAAAAGCAAGUCAAAUUCAAUGUAUUACUUACUUAGUGAUGGGCAUGGAAUUUAAUGAGAUUUCUCAUGCAGGAGCAGCUUCUUGAAUACAAAUUCUGAGCUAUUCAGAAGGAUCUCGAGAAAACUGUCCAGACGGAUCAAAUCGCAGAUUUUCAAAUGUUUGCACUUAACUUAUCAUCUCGACGUUAGUUAAUCUUUACCCACUUCAGAUUGUUUGAGCAUUGUUGUUAUUUCAGGUGGUGUGGGAGCCAUUAGAUAUUGAAGCGAUUGAAGACCAGAAGGCCUUAGUGCGACUGGCUGGAUUCAGGUGGUUUAUAUGGAUUCCACUGGGAGAGUUAAAGAAGGACUUCCUCUGGAAAGUGUACUGCGACGAAGAGUGAUAGAGACAGCCGCGUCUCCAUGAAGUAGAAACCUCAAAGUACAGCAUGAUUCUGUUGCUGGCGGUCGUGUUUGGCGCCAUCUUGGCGCGUAGACCCUCCGACCGCUUUGACCGACGCUCUAGACGCCCCUUCGAGGUUCGUGGCCGCCAUAGCGGCAUACGCCGCUGGCAUCACUAGAGUGGUCGCCGCUGAAGCACAGGCUAUGCAGGAGGCUGCAGCAGUCGUGGCCACGGUGGCUAUCCGCGGUGGCUAGGUCGCCACUCUCGACACAGAAGAUGGCGUAGGAGAGCCGUCGGUUGGAGAGAUUUCGUUCUAGUCUGCCUGCGGUGUGACCCGACCCUGACCCGCACAAUGACCGCUGUCUGAACUGACCACUGUCCGCUUGACUCUGAUCGUCACCUGGAGCUGCCUCUCUGCUGCAAAAUACAUCUGCACAUCCACGGUCUCUUUUACGCAACAGGGAAGGUAUGACUUGAUCACACUGCGGUAAAUGCCAACGUUCGUGUGCCUUGCGGAAGACACCGCAGUGUUGAAGCAAAGCCAGCAGACUGAAGCCCUGCAUGAACGAGCUGCAUGAACGCCACGACCGGUCACCCUUUCAGGCGUGCCUGGUCGUAGUGUGGGGUGCGAU